CCUACGGGAGGCAGCAGUGAGGAAUAUUGGUCAAUGGGCGUGAGCCUGAACCAGCCAAGUCGCGUGAAGGAUGACGGCCCUAUGGGUUGUAAACUUCUUUUGUCAGGGAGCAACUCGGUCUACGCGUGGGCUUACUGAGAGUACCUGCAGAAAAAGCAUCGGCUAACUCCGUGCCAGCAGCCGCGGUAAUACGGAGGAUGCGAGCGUUAUCCGGAUUUAUUGGGUUUAAAGGGUGCGUAGGCGGAAUACCAAGUCAGCGGUAAAAAUGCGGGGCUCAACCCCGCCGUGCCGUUGAAACUGGUGUUCUUGAGUGGGCGAGAAGUAUGCGGAAUGCGUGGUGUAGCGGUGAAAUGCAUAGAUAUGACGAAGAACCCCGAUUGCGAAGGCAGCUUGCUGCAGCGGAACUGACGCUGAUGCUCGAAAGCGCGGGUAUCGAACAGGAUUAGAUACCCGUGUAGUC
rnacentral:rRNA from 1 species